UUAUUGGUAGGUUAUUUAAACUGGCAAAUUGUGGUUUUGCUGAUUACAUUUUGUACUAGUAAA
rnacentral:tRNA from 1 species